UCCAGACUCCUACGGGAGGCAGCAGUGGGGGAUAUUGCACAAUGGGGGCAACCCUGAUGCAGCGACGCCGCGUGAGCGAUGGAGUACUUCGGUAUGUAAAGCUCUGUCAGCAGGGAAGAGAAUGACGGUACCUGACCAAGAAGCCCCGGCUAAAUACGUGCCAGCAGCCGCGGUAAUACGUAUGGGGCAAGCGUUAUCCGGAUUUACUGGGUGUAAAGGGGGCGCAGACGGCGAUGCAAGCCAGGAGUGAAAGCCCGGGGCCCAACCCCGGGACUGCUCUUGGAACUGCGUGGCUAGAGUGCAGGAGGGGCAGGCGGAAUUCCUGGUGUAGCGGUGAAAUGCGUAGAUAUCAGGAGGAACACCGGUGGCGAAGGCGGCCUGCUGGACUGCAACUGACGUUGAGGCCCGAAAGCGUGGGGAGCAAACAGGAUUAGAUACCCGCGUAAA
rnacentral:rRNA from 1 species